CUAAUCUGCGAUAAGCGUCGGUGAGGUGAUAUGAACCGUUAUAACCGGCGAUUUCCGAAUGGGGAAACCCAGUGUGUUUCGACACACUAUCAUUAACUGAAUCCAUAGGUUAAUGAGGCGAACCGGGGGAACUGAAACAUCUAAGUACCCCGAGGAAAAGAAAUCAACCGAGAUUCCCCCAGUAGCGGCGAGCGAACGGGGAGGAGCCCAGAGCCUGAAUCAGUGUGUGUGUUAGUGGAAGCGUCUGGAAAGGCGCGCGAUACAGGGUGACAGCCCCGUACACAAAAAUGCACAUAUUGUGAGCUCGAUGAGUAGGGCGGGACACGUGGUAUCCUGUCUGAAUAUGGGGGGACCAUCCUCCAAGGCUAAAUACUCCUGACUGACCGAUAGUGAACCAGUACCGUGAGGGAAAGGCGAAAAGAACCCCGGCGAGGGGAGUGAAAAAGAACCUGAAACCGUGUACGUACAAGCAGUGGGAGCCUCUUAAUGGGGUGACUGCGUACCUUUUGUAUAAUGGGUCAGCGACUUAUAUUCUGUAGCAAGGUUAACCGAAUAGGGGAGCCGAAGGGAAACCGAGUCUUAACUGGGCGUUAAGUUGCAGGGUAUAGACCCGAAACCCGGUGAUCUAGCCAUGGGCAGGUUGAAGGUUGGGUAACACUAACUGGAGGACCGAACCGACUAAUGUUGAAAAAUUAGCGGAUGACUUGUGGCUGGGGGUGAAAGGCCAAUCAAACCGGGAGAUAGCUGGUUCUCCCCGAAAGCUAUUUAGGUAGCGCCUCGUGAAUUCAUCUCCGGGGGUAGAGCACUGUUUCGGCAAGGGGGUCAUCCCGACUUACCAACCCGAUGCAAACUGCGAAUACCGGAGAAUGUUAUCACGGGAGACACACGGCGGGUGCUAACGUCCGUCGUGAAGAGGGAAACAACCCAGACCGCCAGCUAAGGUCCCAAAGUCAUGGUUAAGUGGGAAACGAUGUGGGAAGGCCCAGACAGCCAGGAUGUUGGCUUAGAAGCAGCCAUCAUUUAAAGAAAGCGUAAUAGCUCACUGGUCGAGUCGGCCUGCGCGGAAGAUGUAACGGGGCUAAACCAUGCACCGAAGCUGCGGCAGCGACACUAUGUGUUGUUGGGUAGGGGAGCGUUCUGUAAGCCUGUGAAGGUGGCCUGUGAGGGUUGCUGGAGGUAUCAGAAGUGCGAAUGCUGACAUAAGUAACGAUAAAGCGGGUGAAAAGCCCGCUCGCCGGAAGACCAAGGGUUCCUGUCCAACGUUAAUCGGGGCAGGGUGAGUCGACCCCUAAGGCGAGGCCGAAAGGCGUAGUCGAUGGGAAACAGGUUAAUAUUCCUGUACUUGGUGUUACUGCGAAGGGGGGACGGAGAAGGCUAUGUUGGCCGGGCGACGGUUGUCCCGGUUUAAGCGUGUAGGCUGGUUUUCCAGGCAAAUCCGGAAAAUCAAGGCUGAGGCGUGAUGACGAGGCACUACGGUGCUGAAGCGACAAAUGCCCUGCUUCCAGGAAAAGCCUCUAAGCAUCAGGUAACAUCAAAUCGUACCCCAAACCGACACAGGUGGUCAGGUAGAGAAUACCAAGGCGCUUGAGAGAACUCGGGUGAAGGAACUAGGCAAAAUGGUGCCGUAACUUCGGGAGAAGGCACGCUGAUAUGUAGGUGAAGCGACUUGCUCGUGGAGCUGAAAUCAGUCGAAGAUACCAGCUGGCUGCAACUGUUUAUUAAAAACACAGCACUGUGCAAACACGAAAGUGGACGUAUACGGUGUGACGCCUGCCCGGUGCCGGAAGGUUAAUUGAUGGGGUUAGCGGUAACGCGAAGCUCUUGAUCGAAGCCCCGGUAAACGGCGGCCGUAACUAUAACGGUCCUAAGGUAGCGAAAUUCCUUGUCGGGUAAGUUCCGACCUGCACGAAUGGCGUAAUGAUGGCCAGGCUGUCUCCACCCGAGACUCAGUGAAAUUGAACUCGCUGUGAAGAUGCAGUGUACCCGCGGCAAGACGGAAAGACCCCGUGAACCUUUACUAUAGCUUGACACUGAACAUUGAGCCUUGAUGUGUAGGAUAGGUGGGAGGCUUUGAAGUGUGGACGCCAGUCUGCAUGGAGCCGACCUUGAAAUACCACCCUUUAAUGUUUGAUGUUCUAACGUGGGCCCCUUACCGGGGUUGCGGACAGUGUCUGGUGGGUAGUUUGACUGGGGCGGUCUCCUCCUAAAGAGUAACGGAGGAGCACGAAGGUUGGCUAAUCCUGGUCGGACAUCAGGAGGUUAGUGCAAUGGCAUAAGCCAGCUUGACUGCGAGCGUGACGGCGCGAGCAGGUGCGAAAGCAGGUCAUAGUGAUCCGGUGGUUCUGAAUGGAAGGGCCAUCGCUCAACGGAUAAAAGGUACUCCGGGGAUAACAGGCUGAUACCGCCCAAGAGUUCAUAUCGACGGCGGUGUUUGGCACCUCGAUGUCGGCUCAUCACAUCCUGGGGCUGAAGUAGGUCCCAAGGGUAUGGCUGUUCGCCAUUUAAAGUGGUACGCGAGCUGGGUUUAGAACGUCGUGAGACAGUUCGGUCCCUAUCUGCCGUGGGCGCUGGAGAACUGAGGGGGGCUGCUCCUAGUACGAGAGGACCGGAGUGGACGCAUCACUGGUGUUCGGGUUGUCAUGCCAAUGGCACUGCCCGGUAGCUAAAUGCGGAAGAGAUAAGUGCUGAAAGCAUCUAAGCACGAAACUUGCCCCGAGAUGAGUUCUCCCUGACUCCUUGAGAGUCCUGAAGGAACGUUGAAGACGACGACGUUGAUAGGCCGGGUGUGUAAGCGCAGCGAUGCGUUGAGCUAACCGGUACUAAUGAACCGUGAGGCUUAACCUU
rnacentral:rRNA from 1 species